GUUUGAUCCUGGCUCAGAUUGAACGCUGGCGGCAGGCCUAACACAUGCAAGUCGAGCGCACCUCGGGUGAGCGGCGACGGGUUAGUAACGCGUGGGAACGUACCCUUUUCUAAGGAAUAGCCACUGGAAACGGUGAGUAAUACCUUAUACGCCCUUCGGGGGAAAGAUUUAUCGGAGAAGGAUCGGCCCGCGUUAGAUUAGAUAGUUGGUGGGGUAACGGCCUACCAAGUCUACGAUCUAUAGCUGGUUUUAGAGGAUGAUCAGCAACACUGGGACUGAGACACGGCCCAGACUCCUACGGGAGGCAGCAGUGGGGAAUCUUGGACAAUGGGCGCAAGCCUGAUCCAGCCAUGCCGCGUGAGUGAUGAAGGCCUUAGGGUCGUAAAGCUCUUUCGCUGGGGAUGAUAAUGACAGUACCCAGUAAAGAAACCCCGGCUAACUCCGUG
rnacentral:rRNA from 1 species